GUGGAAGUGAUACGAUCGUUGGCUCCACAACAGGCUGUGAAGAUGGUUCUUCGAGUUCACUUCCAUCACCAUCUCCUGCCCCUAAAGCUGUGAUGGGAAAAGGCAUCCAACCAAACUUCAUCCUGACAUUGCUUAUUUUGGCCGGGCGGGCAGCGGACGGCGGCCGCGUGGUCGUGAUGAGGAGGAACACGGCCUCCCGGCGCUGCCUUCUCAUCAGCGGACCAGUCGAGCACAACGAUGAGGAUCGGGACCGCGGCUCACCACACAGCGGCCCUCGGGGCAGGCGGCAACGGCGUUGCAGAGCGCGGCGGGCAACCACGAUGGAGCCCGGGCAGCUGCUCAUCAGCGUUGCCGCCGGCGCCGCACCUGCUCGGUGGCCGCGGCCUCGAACGCGCGCACGAGGGAAGGCCGCAUCACCAGAUUUACGAGCAGCAGAGGGAGCUCGGGAGGCGGUAUGCGGCGGCGGAGGGCGCUCUGGACGCGGUCUGACGCGAUGGUGGCCGAGGGAGUGGAGCCCGUGUGCGGCGCCGACGGAGAAAAGCGGCUGGGCAAAGUGAAUAACGGGGAGAGAAGGGGAAAAGGAAGCAAAGCGACGGGAAAGGGGAACUGACGAUUUUUGUUUACCGUUUUACCCCCGUCCGAGAAUACUCCGUCUCGUUUUCACGCGUUACUCCACGGACCCAAAACGGAGUAUCAUAGAGUAGUGACUCAUCUGAACCGUUAGAUCAAGUAAAACGAACGGGUAAUAGCUAAAAAUAACAUAUUUGCAUCCUUAUAGGCUGCUUCUGUCGU